UACGUAGGUGGCAAGCGUUGUCCGGAUUUACUGGGCGUAAAGAGCUCGUAGGCGGUCCUGUUGCGUCCGCUGUGAAAGCCGGGGCUUAACCCCGGGUCGGCAGUGGAUGACGGGCAGGCUAGAGGUAGGUAGGGGAGGAAUGGAAUUCCCGGUGUGAGAGGUGAAAUUCGUAGAUAUCGGGAGGAACACCAGUGGCGAAGGGCGGCG
rnacentral:rRNA from 1 species